rnacentral:rRNA from 1 species
UACGUAGGGGGCAAGCGUUGUCCGGAUUUAUUGGGCGUAAAGAGCGUGUAGGCGGCCAGAUAGGUCUGUUGUGAAAACUCGAGGCUCAACCUCGAGACGCCGAUGGAAACCAUCUGGCUAGAGUCCGGAAGAGGAGAGUGGAAUUCCUGGUGUAGCGGUGAAAUGCGCAGAUAUCAGGAAGAACACCCGUGGCUAAGGCGGCUCUCUGGGACGGUACUGACGCUGAGACGCGAAAGCGUGGGGAGCGAACAGG